UAAUACGUAGGGGGCAAGCGUUAUCCGGAUUUACUGGGCGUAAAGCGCGUUAAGGCGGCUCGUUAAGUUGGUUGUGAAAUUUCAGGGCUCAACCCUGAAACUGCGUCCAAUACUGGCGGGCUUGAGUGCGAGAGAGGAAGGUGGAAUUCCCGGUGUAGUAGUGAAAUGCGUAGAUAUCGGGAGGAACACCAGUGGCGAAGGCGGCCUUCUGGCUCGCAACUGACGCUGUAGCGCGAAAGCGUGGGGAGCGAACGGGAUUAGAUACCCCGGUAGUCCACGCUGUAAACGAUGUGUACUAGGUGUUGGGCGUAUUGACGCGCUCAGUGCCGCAGCUAACGCAUUAAGUACACCGCCUGGGGAGUACGGUCGCAAGAUUA
rnacentral:rRNA from 1 species